AAUGAUAUGUGAGUGAGUAUAUGAUCAUGAUUGAGCAAGGAAAUCACCCAACUUAUUUUUAUGAAACUUUCGAAAAUUAGGAGCUUGAAACCCUACGAAUUUUGUUGUUUAUUUUCUUGACUUGGCUUGAGUUAUAUGAUGAUGGAUUUGAGUUUAUGAGAUGAUCUAGAUGAUUAAUGAUGGAUGAGAUUGAAGCUUGAGGUUGAGAAGUGAAAAAUGAAAAAUGUUAGUUUGAGGAAGAAGAUGAUAUAUAUGUGUUUCUAUAUGUGAUUUUGUAUAUGAUGUUGAUUUGAAGAUUUGAGUGGGUAUAUGAGUUCUUGAGCAUGCUAUGAUGUUAAGUGAUGGUUUAGAUUGAUGAUUAGAAGUGAUGAAAUGAGUUUUGGGAUGAGUUGUUGUUGAGAAUUAUGAUGUUAUAUUCAAGUUAGAGAUAUUAUUAAGAUAUAUAAGUUUUAAAUAUAAAUUGGAGAAUUUCGUAGGCCUACUGACCUACUGUGAUCGAUGGUUUGUCGAUGUCUAAUAGCUUUGAAAAUUUUAUAGCAAGUUUCUACAUGAGUCUUGAGUACCCUGGUAAAAUUUCAAGCUAUUUAAACUUCGUUUGAUAUUUCUUUAAAAUGCAAAACCUAAACUGCACAUUAUUACCGAGAAUUUCAGAGAACAGGGGAAAGAGUUAUUCAUUUAAGUAGUCUUCCUAUGUGAUCUAGCUUUCCAACUUUUUAUGGUAUCAACCUUAUUGUGUUAGAUAGAUAUCCACCAAAGUUGAGCCCAGUUUGACAACGUUUACUAUUUUUCAAAAAUUGUAACCUUCGGUUGCACAAAACUGCCAGAAAUGGUAGAUCGUGGUAAAAACGUCAUAUCUCUCAAACCACUUGGAGCUUUCGACUCUAUUUUUUUUUUAAAUGAAACUAGACUCGAAGAAAUUUCUUUCAGUAUGAGUCUCGAGUCCAGGAGAUGUCGGAGUCAGAACAGUUUAAAUUUUGAAGUUGAGUCAGUGUGAAAACAGAGCAUGUUUUAAUGAUGUUUGAUUGUGAUUCUUAUGUGCCUUAUGUGAUUGUGUUGCCUAUGUGUUUGAAUUUUCACUAAAUUAUUUUAGUGAAUUUAAAUCUCUUGAUUUAAAUUUUAAUAUUUAAGGUUGGGACUAUUUAUUUUAAAUGAGGUCCGU
rnacentral:lncRNA from 1 species